GACGAACGCUGGCGGCGUGCUUAACACAUGCAAGUCGAACAGAAAGGCCUGCUUUCCCUUGUGGAUUGCGGGUACUCGAGUGGCGAACGGGUGAGUAACACGUGAGUGAUCUGCCCCCAACUUGGGUAUAAGCCUGGGAAACUGGGUCUAAUUCCCGAUAGGACUGCAGGGUGGUGCCUGUGGUGGAAAACGAUUUUCUAGUGGUUGGGGAUGAGCUCGCGGCCUAUCAGCUUGUUGGUGGGGUAAUGGCCUACCAAGGCGGCGACGGGUAGCCGGCCUGAGAGGGUGGACGGCCACAUUGGGACUGAGAUACGGCCCAGACUCCUACGGGAGGCAGCAGUGGGGAAUAUUGCACAAUGGGCGGAAGCCUGAUGCAGCGACGCCGCGUGGGGGAUGACGGCCUUCGGGUUGUAAACUCCUUUCGACCGCGAGGAAGCCACCUGGUUGGAAGGGUGGUGACGGUAGUGGUAGAAGAAGCACCGGCUAACUACGUG
rnacentral:rRNA from 1 species